rnacentral:rRNA from 1 species
GUGCCAGCCGCCGCGGUAAUACGUAGGGAGCGAGCGUUGUCCGAAGUUACUGGGCGUAAAGCGCGCGUAGGCGGGUUAUUAAGUGAGAGGUGAAAUUCCAGGGCUCAACCCCGGAACUGCCUCUCAUACUGAUAGUCUUGAGUGAGGUAGAGAGAAGUGGAAUGGCUGGUGUAGCGGUGAAAUGCGUAGAUAUCAGUCGGAACACCGGUGGCGAAGGCGGCUUCUUGGGCCUUUACUGACGCUGAUGCGCGAAAGCCAGGGGAGCGAACGGGAUUAGAUACCCUGGUAGUCC